rnacentral:rRNA from 1 species
GCACAGGGGGACUCUACGGGAGGCAGCAGUGGGGAAUAUUGCACAAUGGGCGCAAGCCUGAUGCAGCCAUGCCGCGUGUAUGAAAAAGGCUUCGGGUUGUAAAGUACUUUCAGCGAGGAGGAAGGCAUGCAAGGUUAAUAACCUUGGUGAUUGACGUUACUCGCAGAAGAAGCAGCGCUGC